rnacentral:rRNA from 1 species
UACGGGGGGGUAAGCGUUGUUCGGAAUUACUGGGCGUAAAGGGCUCGUAGGCGGCCAACUAAGUCAUACGUGAAAUCCCUCAGCUUAACUGGGGAACUGCGUGUGAUACUGGAUGGCUUGGAUUUGGGAGAGGGAUGCGGAAUUCCAGGUGUAGCGGUGAAAUGCGUAGAUAUCGGGAGGAACACCAGUGGCGAAGGCGACUACCUGGCCCAUUCUUGACGCUGAGGCGCGAAAGCUAGGGGAGCGAACGGG